rnacentral:lncRNA from 1 species
GUAAUAGGUCUUUGCUGUCCUGAAAGCCUGUUCCAACAUGAAGGGUCACUAGAAGGAGUAAUAAAGCCACACCAUGAUGCUGGGGUCCUCUUCCGCAGGUCUUUAGUUUCUGAUGGAAUCUUAGACUUUGAGUACUGGUUUAGAGUGGUCUGGCCCUUCCCCAAGCAGGAGGAUAAUUCCAAGUUAUAACAGAUGCAGACCAUCCCCUAAGACUCAGGAUCAAUCAGACAGAAGCCAGGUGGAAAUCACGCAUUCCAAGUAAGCUGUUGUGGUUGUAGUCCAGCUAACUGCAGGUACUUCUGCAGGAAGGUUGAAUGCAGUUCAGUCAAAGCUUUCCAUGGGUCCUUGGAUUGGAAUUAAUUUCUCCUGUUCAUUUCAACCUUGACAAGGCAAUAACUAUGGCAAUUGUGAAGUUAGCUAUUUCUGAAAUGGUGAAAUAAUCUUCUGAAAUUUGCUCAGAACAGUUCAAGACAGAUGACUAGCUUGCCAUCAACCUAGAAUUUUAGCAAGGACAUAGGGAUGCACUCUG